rnacentral:rRNA from 1 species
GUGCUGUCGUCAGCUCGUGUCGUGAGAUGUUGGGUUAAGUCCCGCAACGAGCGCAACCCUUGUCAUUAGUUGCCAUCAUUUAGUUGGGCACUCUAAUGAGACUGCCGGUGACAAACCGGAGGAAGGUGGGGAUGACGUCAAGUCCUCAUGGCCCUUAUGGGUAGGGCUUCACACGUCAUACAAUGGUCGGUACAGAGGGUUGCCAAGCCGCGAGGUGGAGCCAAUCCCUUAAAGCCGAUCGUAGUCCGGAUCGUAGUCUGCAACUCGACUACGUGAAGUCGGAAUCGCUAGUAAUCGCAGAUCAGCAUGCUGCGGUGAAUACGUUCCCGGGCCUU